rnacentral:rRNA from 1 species
GAUGAACGCUGGCGGCGUGCCUAAUACAUGCAAGUCGAGCGAACAGAUGAGGAGCUUGCUCCUCUGACGUUAGCGGCGGACGGGUGAGUAACACGUGGAUAACCUACCUAUAAGACUGGGAUAACUUCGGUAAACCGGAGCUAAUACCGGAUAAUAUAUUGAACCGCAUGGUUCAAUAGUGAAAGACGGUUUUGCUGUCACUUAUAGAUGGAUCCGCGCCGCAUUAGCUAGUUGGUAAGGUAACGGCUUACCAAGGCAACGAUGCGUAGCCGACCUGAGAGGGUGAUCGGCCACACUGGAACUGAGACACGGUCCAGACUACUACGGGAGGCAGCAGUAGGGAAUCUUCCGCAAUGGGCGAAAGCCUGACGGAGCAACGCCGCGUGAGUGAUGAAGGUCUUCGGAUCGUAAAACUCUGUUAUUAGGGAAGAACAAAUGUGUAAGUAACUAUGCACGUCUUGACGGUACCUAAUCAGAAAGCCACGGCUAACUACGUG